GGAAGGCAGCAGGCGCGCAAAUUACCCACUCCCGGCACGGGGAGGUAGUGACGAAAAAUAACGAUACGGGACUCAUCCGAGGCCCCGUAAUCGGAAUGAGUACACUCUAAACCCUUUAACGAGGAUCAAUUGGAGGGCAAGUCUGGUGCCAGCAGCCGCGGUAAUUCCAGCUCCAAUAGCGUAUAUUAAAGUUGUUGCGGUUAAAAAGCUCGUAGUCGAAUCUGUGUCUCGCGCCGCCGGUUCAUCGCUCGCGGUGUUUAACUGGCGUGUCGCGGGACGUCCUGCCGGUGGGCUCAGCCCCCUUCACGGGGGGCGGCCCAACUACGCAUCCCGCCGCGGUGCUCUUCGCUGAGUGUCGAGGUGGGCCGGCACGUUUACUUUGAACAAAUUAGAGUGCUUAAAGCAGGCUCAAACUUCGCCUGAAUAUUCUGUGCAUGGAAUAAUGGAAUAGGACCUCGGUUCUAUUUUGUUGGUUUUCGGAACCCCGAGGUAAUGAUUAAUAGGAACGGAUGGGGGCAUUCGUAUUGCGACGUUAGAGGUGAAAUUCUUGGAUCGUCGCAAGACGGACGGAAGCGAAAGCAUUUGCCAAAAACGUUUUCAUUGAUCAAGAACGAAAGUUAGAGGUUCGAAGGCGAUCAGAUACCGCCCUAGUUCUAACCAUAAACGAUGCCAGCUAGCGAUCCGCCGACGUUCCUCCGAUGACUCGGCGGGCAGCUNCCGGGAAACCAAAGCUUUUGGGUUCCGGGGGAAGUAUGGUUGCAAAGCUGAAACUUAAAGGAAUUGACGGAAGGGCACCACCAGGAGUGGAGCCUGCGGCUUAAUUUGACUCAACACGGGAAACCUCACCAGGCCCGGACACCGGAAGGAUUGACAGAUUGAGAGCUCUUUCUUGAUUCGGUGGGUGGUGGUGCAUGGCCGUUCUUAGUUGGUGGAGCGAUUUGUCUGGUUAAUUCCGAUAACGAACGAGACUCUAGCCUGCUAACUAGGCGUAUUUUCGACAUCUGAAAGGCCCCACGGCCCGGCGCUCUCGCGUCGCGGUCGCGCGCGGUUUUUACUGUCGGCGUACAAUCAAUUCUUCUUAGAGGGACAGGCGGCUUCUAGCCGCACGAGAUUGAGCAAUAACAGGUCUGUGAUGCCCUUAGAUGUUCUGGGCCGCACGCGCGCUACACUGAAGGAAUCAGCGUGUCCUCCCUGGCCGAGAGGCCCGGGUAACCCGCUGAACCUCCUUCGUGCUAGGGAUUGGGGCUUGCAAUUGUUCCCCAUGAACGAGGAAUUCCCAGUAAGCGCGAGUCAUAAGCUCGCGUUGAUUACGUCCCUGCCCUUUGUACACACCGCCCGUCGCUACUACCGAUUGAAUGAUUUAGUGAGGUCUUCGGACCGGUACGCGGCGGCGCUCCCGCGUCGCCGAUGUUGCUGGGAAGAUGACCAAA
rnacentral:rRNA from 1 species